CCCAUAUUUAGCUUCCAAAUGGUCCCGUCGGGGCCCCUCACCUGGUUUCAGCUCCCAGCUCAAGGCGAGAGAAGGUAUGGGAAGCUGCUUUGUACAACAAAGAAAGAAUAUGAAAGCUCAAGGGUGAAGGACCUGGACAGUCUGCGCUGAGGAAAACGGCAGAAAGAACUGAAGGAGUGGGCUGUUUGGCCUGGGGAAGGGACGCCUGUUGGUGGAAGGAAGACUCUGGGCAGCUGUGGGGCACCAGCUCUGCUGGCCUGGCAUUAGAUUCCAGGUUCUGGGGGGGAGCACUUUCUCAUGGUUGGGCCUCUCUGUGUAGAGAUGUGCAAGCAGGAGCUGGGGGACAGCCUUUCAGGACAGUCCAGAGGAGAUUCUCAAACUGGGCAAGAGGUUGAUCUCAGUUAGGGUCUUCUGAUGAAACCCCCAGAGCCUGGUGAGCUCUAGAGAUUCACCUUGCAGCUUGUUAAAAAUCCGUAUUCCUGGGACAGACAUCUAGAGUCUGAUUUAUGAAGAGAUUAAGGUGGGAAAAGGAUCUGUAGUUUUAAAAAGCUCCCCAGGUGGUUCCGGUGCAUAG
rnacentral:lncRNA from 1 species